rnacentral:rRNA from 1 species
CAGCAGCCGCGGGAAAACGGAGGGUGCAAGCGUUAAUCGGAAUUACUGGGCGUAAAGCGCACGCAGGCGGUCUGACAAGUCAGAUGUGAAAUCCCCGGGCUUAACCUGGGAACUGCAUUUGAAACUGUCAGGCUGGAGUCUUGUAGAGGGGGGUAGAAUUCCAGGUGUAGCGGUGAAAUGCGUAGAGAUCUGGAGGAAUACCGGUGGCGAAGGCGGCCCCCUGGACAAAGACUGACGCUCAGGUGCGAAAGCGUGGGGAGCAAACAGGAUUAGAUACCCCGGUAGUCCCUGUCUCUUAUAA